GGGCGGGGAGAGUGCUGCUAACUGCUUUAUUCGGUUUCAUCUUCACGGUGACGCCAGCAGUCCCCCUCACCUGGGGCGCACAGGGUCACACAGUUGCCGUGCCCUUGGAAAGGCUGCCCUGAGGCCCAGUAUUGAAAAUUCCAGCAGCUCCCAUCGGUCCAUCGAAACCUCCGGCACAUGAACUAAAGUGAUAGACUGGGACCAUGGACAAUGCCAAAGGCCCUACUUGAACCUUCCUAGAGCCAUCUGGAGCUAAUCCUGGAUCUCCUUGGUGUUGGCACCCAGCCCAAGGCUGAACCCGGAAUAGCGUUCCAGAGUUCCACCAUCUUUGAAUUCAGCAGACUGUCAUAGAACGGCAGCUACAAUGGACCUCGGUUUGAUUUCCAUCUUUCUCAACUAACUGUGCGAACUUGAGCAAGUGGCUUCUCCAAUCUGGGCCACACUCAAAAAACUAAAGCUCUUGAUUCACCUCUAA